AAUCUUCGGCAAUGGGCGCAAGCCUGACCGAGCGACGCCGCGUGGAGGACGAAGGCCUUCGGGUUGUAAACUCCUGUCGAGGGGGAGGAAGGGGAAACCUUGACCGAUCCCUGGAGGAAGCACGGGCUAAGUUCGUGCCAGCAGCCGCGGUAAGACGAACCGUGCGAACGUUAUUCGGAAUCACUGGGCUUAAAGCGCGUGUAGGCGGGCCGGCGCGUCGGUGCCUGAAAGCCCCCGGCUCAACCGGGGAACUGGGGCCGAUACGGCCGGCCUGGAGGGGCGUAGGGGGACCUGGAACUUCCGGUGGAGCGGUGAAAUGCGUUGAGAUCGGAAGGAACGCCCGUGGCGAAAGCGAGGUCCUGGACGCCUGCUGACGCUGAGACGCGAAAGCCAGGGUAGCGAA
rnacentral:rRNA from 1 species